rnacentral:rRNA from 1 species
GACGAACGCUGGCGGCGUGCUUAACACACGCAAGUCGAACGGUAAGGCCCUUCGGGGUACACGAGUGGCGAACGGGUGAGUAACACGUGGGUGAUCUGCCCUGCACUUCGGGAUAAGCCUGGGAAACUGCGUCUAAUACCGGAUAGGACCACUGCCUGCAUGGGUGGUGGUGGAAAGCUUUUGCGGUGUGGGAUGGGCCCGCGGCCUAUCAGCGUGUUGGUGGGGUGAUGGCCUACCAAGGCGACGACGGGUAGCCGGCCUGAGAGGGUGACCGGCCACACUGGGACGGAGAUACGGCCCAGAGUCCUACGGGAGGCAGCAGUGGGGAAUAUUGCACACUGGGCGCAAGCCGGAUGCAGCGACGCCGCGUGAGGGAUGACGGCCUUCGGGUUGUAAACCUCUUUCAGCACCGACGAAGCGCAAGUGACGGUAGGUGCAGAAGAAGGACCGGCCAACUACGUGCCAGCCGCCGCCGUAA